rnacentral:rRNA from 1 species
UACCAGCACCCCGAGUGGUCGGGACGUUUAUUGGGCCUAAAGCAUCCGUAGCCGGUUCUACAAGUCUUCCGUUAAAUCCAACUGCUUAACAGGUGGGCUGCGGAAGAUACUAUAGAGCUAGGAGGCGGGAGAGGCAAGCGGUACUCGAUGGGUAGGGGUAAAAUCCGUUGAUCCAUUGAAGACCACCAGUGGCGAAGGCGGCUUGCCAGAACGCGCUCGACGGUGAGGGAUGAAGCUGGGGGAGCAAACCGG